rnacentral:rRNA from 1 species
GACGAACGCUGGCGGCGUGCUUAACACAUGCAAGUCGAACGGAAAGGCCCUGCUUUUGUGGGGUGCUCGAGUGGCGAACGGGUGAGUAACACGUGAGUAACCUGCCCUUGACUUUGGGAUAACUUCAGGAAACUGGGGCUAAUACCGGAUAGGAGCUCCUGCUGCAUGGUGGGGGUUGGAAAGUUUCGGCGGUUGGGGAUGGACUCGCGGCUUAUCAGCUUGUUGGUGGGGUAGUGGCUUACCAAGGCUUUGACGGGUAGCCGGCCUGAGAGGGUGACCGGCCACAUUGGGACUGAGAUACGGCCCAGACUCCUACGGGAGGCAGCAGUGGGGAAUAUUGCGCAAUGGGCGGAAGCCUGAUGCAGCAACGCCGCGUGCGGGAUGACGGCCUUCGGGUUGUAAACCGCUUUCGCCUGUGACGAAGCGUGAGUGACGGUAAUGGGUAAAGAAGCACCGGCUAACAACGUG